rnacentral:tRNA from 1 species
GGGAGCGGAUCGGGGCUGGCGCCCCGCGCGGCCUUCAAAGCCGUUGGGGGUCAUCACGGAUGGGCCCGGUGGGUUCGAUUCCCAUGCGCUCCCGCCA